GAAAAUCCCAAAUCAUAGUUGUAUGCAUGUUUAGAUGGAUCCAGAGCAGACGUUUAUACGGGUUCAAGAACGAUUUGCUCAGAUGCUGACGCCCAGGAUCAGAGCUACUCUCGAGUAUUUGUAUCUCUUCAUGGCCGUAACCCUCUUCUGUAUACUCGUUGUUAUGCACGCCAAUUACGUUCAACAGCCUGGCUGUUCAAGUGAAUUGUCUAGAGUGAACAUCUCAGAUGCACAACUCAUUCAAAUCAAGAUAACUAGUGCUGGCUUGUGGUCACAAAAUCAAACCAACUAUGAUGUUGUAAAUGUUGCCAAUGAAGAACCU
rnacentral:misc_RNA from 1 species